UUUCUUUUACUUUUUUUAAUUUAGUUGUUAUUUGGGUUGUCUCCAAUUUCUUUUUGUCUUUGCUUUAUGUCUUGUUUGUUUCUUUUUGUUUUCUUUUGUGUGUUGGAUUUGAGUAUUCUUUAUCUUUGUUUCUUAAUUUUAUUUUAUUUUAAAAUAAAAUUAAAGAGGAAGAUUACAAAUGAAUAAUUAAAAAUACUAUUAACAAUUUUAUAAUGAGUGUUGAAUUGAUAUUGAAAAGUGAUAAAGAGAUAAAUAAAAACUAAAAAAAU
rnacentral:lncRNA from 1 species